UGGAGAUUUUCCAGGCAGAAAAGGUGGACGAGAGAGCCGGGAAGCACAUUUCAGGCAUUAUAGCAAGUUUCUGAGAGUGACUGCCCGAGCCCCGCAGGACAGAGCUUGUGGGCACUCCAGUGGAGGCUGUCUCUAGUCCAGGGUAACUUUCAAUGGGUAUUAUGACCUAAGUCAUAUUUCACUUUAUUAGGCACCAAGACGACCUGAUUUUGUCGAACACUUUGCAAACUCACCACCAAGGUGAAGUCAGCUCGAGGGGAGUCGGAAGAAGUUUUAGCUCCUCAGGUGACUCUCACAUACAGCUGAUGCUGAGGACCAGCCUAAACCAGCGGGUUGAAGUCCGCCGUGUCCAGGGCACUUCCUGUUCUGAGCGGCCCAGCGCCCCCGAAGCCCAGAGCCCACCCACCAAGCCGACUGCCCCCGGGAGCGCUCCAUUCUUCUUGUCAGAGGGGGCUGUCUGAAGCAACAUGAGUAGGAACGGAAUAAGGCCCGAGAAAGCACAAAUGGGUUAACAAAGCUGAUCUUUUAACCAGUUUAUUGUAUUUUUACAGUAAUAAAAAUAAAUUAGUCAUACACAAAAA